rnacentral:telomerase_RNA from 1 species
UCAUCGGGGGAAUGCCUGGCGGGGGCCAUGCGGUCGAGCUCUUUGAGGCGAAGAUACUGCUGGCAGUUGCACAUAACCCAAACGAACCCACUAGCCGCUUUGCGACAAUAGCGCCGGUGUUUACUUCGGCCCGUUGGUUCACUCCAAAAAUUUCAACGGGUAACCCGUAGUUCCCCCUUAAUUUUU